ensembl:lncRNA
AUGUCCGUGUUGGUACACGGAGGUCAACAUAUACGGAUACAUGGGUUGAUACACGGAUGUGUUUGUGAUGUUUAUUACGUCUGGUGGCUAUACUCUGGAACAGUCUUUGGUAUCAACACUACAGUUUAUCUAGAGGUCACGGGGCCGUUGUCCUCCUCAACCAGAGGAGCAACGACCCAGCACCGCGGCAGCCUGAUGGACCAGGGGUCCUGGGACAGGGGCGCAGCCCUCAGGAGGUCCCAGUCCCCCUGGUCUCUCCUGGUCCCCCCCUGGUCUCUCCCAUGUCUCCCCCCUGGUCUCCCCCAUGUCUCCCCCCUGGUCUCCCCCAGGUCUCCCCCCUGGACUCCCCCAUGUCUCCCCCCUGGUCUCCCCCUGGUCUCUCCUGGUCUCCCCCUGGUCUCCCCCUGGUCUCCCCCCUGGUCUCCCCCCUGGUCUCCCCCGUGUCUCCCCCCUGGUCUCCCCCGUGUCUCCCCCCUGGUCUCCCCCUGGUCUCUCCUGGUCUCCCCCUGGUCUCCCCCAUGUCUCCCCCCUGGUCUCCCCCUGGUCUCUCCUGGUCUCCCCCUGGUCUUCCCCCCUGGUCUCCCCCAUGUCUCCCCCCUGGUUUCCCCCUGGUCUCCCCCAUGUCUCCCCCAUGGUCUCCCCCUGGUCACCCCCUGGUCACUCCUGGACUCCCCCUGGUCUCCCCCAUGUCUCCCCCCUGGUCUCCCCCUGGUCUCUCCUGGUCUCCCCCUGGUCUCCCCCCUGGUCUCCCCCAUGUCUCCCCCCUGGUUUCCCCCUGGUCUCUCCUGGUCUCGCCCUGGUCUCCCCCCUGGUCUCCCCCAUGUCUCCCCCCUGGUCUCCCCCUGGUCACCCCCUGGUCUCCCCCUGGUCUCCCCCUGGUGUCCCCCCUGGUCUCCCCCAUGUCUCCCCCCUGGUUUCCCCCUGGUCUCCCCCAUGUCUCCCCCCUGGUCUCCCCCUGGUCUCCCCCCUGGUCUCCCCCAUGUCUCCCCCCUGGUUUCCCCCUGGUCUCCCCCAUGUCUCCCCCCAUGUCUCCCCCCUGGUCUCCCCCUGGUCACCCCCUGGUCUCCCCCUGGUCUCCCCCUGGUCUCUCCUGGUCUCCCCCCUGGUCUCCCCCAUGUCUCCCCCCUGGUCUCCCCCUGGUCUCUCCUGGUCUCCCCCUGGUCUCCCGCCUGGUCUCCCCAAUGUCUCCCCCCUGGUCUCCCCCUGGUCUCUCCUGGUCUCCCCCCUGGUCUCCCCCAUGUCUCCCCCCUGGUUUCCCCCUGGUCUCUCCUGGUCCCCCCCUGGUCUCCCCCCUGGUCUCCCCCUGGUCUCCCCCCUGGUCUCCCCCAUGUCUCCCCCCUGGUCUCCCCCUGGUCUCCCCCUGGUCUCCCCACUGAGGGGAGGGGAGAUACCGGCGCAUUGUUAACACUCAGGAAGGGUCCGCAGACGGGGAUGUCAGGGACACCUUCCUGUUCCUCUCUGAGUGCAUCGCAUCACUUCCUGUCUGCGUUCUCCUCGCUGACCUCUGAUUGGAGGCUUUGUUCAGCGACUGAAAGGUCAAAGGCCACAGCGUCAGGAGGGGGGGGCGGAUAG